rnacentral:rRNA from 1 species
CAAUAGCGUAUAUUAAAGUUGUUGCAGUUAAAAAGCUCGUAGUUGGAUUUCUGGUGGGAGCGAUCGGUCUGGCGCUUAGCGCGAGUACUUGCAUCGUCUCCGGCCAUCCUUGGGGAGAGUCUGUCUGGCAUUAAGUUGUCGGGCAGAGGAUCCUCAUCGUUUACUGUGAAAAAAUUAGAGUGUUCAAAGCAGGCUUAUGCCGUUGAAUAUAUUAGCAUGGAAUAACAAGAUAGGACUUUGGUACUAUUUUGUUGGUUUGCGCACCAAAGUAAUGAUUAAUAGGGACAGUUGGGGGUAUUCGUAUUCCGUUGUCAGAGGUGAAAUUCUUGGAUUUACGGAAGACGAACUACUGCGAAAGCAUUUACCAAGGAUGUUUUCAUUAA